GAGCGGUAGAGAGAAGCUUGCUUCUCUUGAGAGCGGCGGACGGGUGAGUAAUGCCUAGGAAUCUGCCUGGUAGUGGGGGAUAACGUUCGGAAACGGACGCUAAUACCGCAUACGUCCUACGGGAGAAAGCAGGGGACCUUCGGGCCUUGCGCUAUCAGAUGAGCCUAGGUCGGAUUAGCUAGUUGGUGAGGUAAUGGCUCACCAAGGCGACGAUCCGUAACUGGUCUGAGAGGAUGAUCAGUCACACUGGAACUGAGACACGGUCCAGACUCCUACGGGAGGCAGCAGUGGGGAAUAUUGGACAAUGGGCGAAAGCCUGAUCCAGCCAUGCCGCGUGUGUGAAGAAGGUCUUCGGAUUGUAAAGCACUUUAAGUUGGGAGGAAGGGUUGUAGCAUUAAUAC
rnacentral:rRNA from 1 species